CCCUUAGAUGUCCUGGGCCGCACGCGCGCUACACUGAUGCAUUCAACGAGUUUUACCUUGGCCGAGAGGCCUGGGCAAUCUUUUAAACCUGCAUCGUGAUAGGGAUAGAUUAUUGCAAUUAUUAAUCUUGAACGAGGAAUUCCUAGUAAACGCAGAUCAUCAAUCUGCAUUGAUUACGUCCCCGCCCUUUGUACACACCGCCCGUCGCACCUACCGAUUGAAUGGUCCGGUGAAGCCUCGGGAUUGUGGCCAGUUCACUUUAUUGGGAGUUGGCUGCGAGAACUUGUCUAAACCUUAUCAUUUAGAGGAAGGUGAAGUCGUAACA
rnacentral:rRNA from 1 species